rnacentral:lncRNA from 1 species
UAUUUCUUUGAUGCAUUCCGCAAAUACUGAUGGAUUUUAUUGCUGUGGGCUUUGUUCUGAAGAAGGAGGAGAAGAAUGACAAGAUCUCACUAGAGGAUUUGAUAGAGAAUUACUCUGGAAACAUUCUUGGCCUGAAAGAAAAGGAAAAGGCAGGAGAAACUGACUGAAGCAGAGCAGGACAUGGAGAGAAAGAAAGCUGGCAGAGCACUUGGGCUCAGUGGAAGGGAAGGGUUUGAGUUCAGACCGGAGCUUGUUAACGAUGACAAUGAGGAGGCUGAUGAUACGUGGGAAUGUGGAGAUGUUUAUUACCAGAGCUCUACCCACAAAUCACAAAGAUGCGGCUGCAGUGAAUUAUUGAGUGUCUCAAACUGAAUUGAUCUCAUAGUCAAGAAGCUUUAAGACAAUACACAGGUAAGAUUAUAAAAUAAUUUCAGCACUCAAUAUUUAAUUUACAUGUAUUUAUUUAUUAGGUGAGUGGGGAUCAUGUACAGUCAUCCGGUCAUUAUCGCAGAACCAACCCCAAUAGGGCCUGUAUAUGGAGCGUAUAAUGAGCAGCUGGCUGGCAACAGACUGUUAACAAAGUAUUUCCUCCAUUUCCAUUAGUACAAAGCCAGUGUCAAGACAUUUUAAACCCAGCAUCCUUCUGUUGUCAGUGGCCAAAAGACUGGAAAAAAAAAAGGAUACAAC